rnacentral:rRNA from 1 species
UGAGGAAUAUUGGACAAUGGUCGGAAGACUGAUCCAGCCAUGCCGCGUGCAGGAUGAAGGUCCUAUGGAUUGUAAACUGCUUUUGUAAGGGAAGAAUAAGGAGUACGUGUACUUUGAUGACGGUACCUUACGAAUAAGCAUCGGCUAACUCCGUGCCAGCAGCCGCGGUAAUACGGAGGAUGCGAGCGUUAUCCGGAAUCAUUGGGUUUAAAGGGUCCGUAGGCGGGCUGAUAAGUCAGAGGUGAAAGCGCUUAGCUCAACUAAGCAACUGCCUUUGAAACUGUCAGUCUUGAAUGAUUGUGAAGUAGUUGGAAUGUGUAGUGUAGCGGUGAAAUGCUUAGAUAUUACACAGAACACCGAUAGCGAAGGCAUAUUACUAACAAUUUAUUGACGCUGAUGGACGAAAGCGUGGGGAGCGAACA